rnacentral:rRNA from 1 species
ACUCCUGCGGGAGGCAGCAGUGGGGAAUUUUGGACAAUGGGCGGAAGCCUGAUCCAGCAAUGCCGCGUGAGUGAAGAAGGCCUUCGGGUUGUAAAGCUCUUUUGUCAGGGAAGAAACGGUGAAAGCUAAUAUCUUUUGCUAAUGACGGUACCUGAAGAAUAAGCACCGGCUAACUACGUGCCAGCAGCCGCGGUAAUACGUAGGGUGCAAGCGUUAAUCGGAAUUACUGGGCGUAAAGCGUGCGCAGGCGGUUUUGUAAGUCUGAUGUGAAAUCCCCGGGCUCAACCUGGGAAUUGCAUUGGAGACUGCAAGGCUAGAAUCUGGCAGAGGGGGGUAGAAUUCCACGUGUAGCAGUGAAAUGCGUAGAUAUGUGGAGGAACACCGAUGGCGAAGGCAGCCCCCUGGGUCAAGAUUGACGCUCAUGCACGAAAGCGUGGGGAGCAAACAGGAUUAGAAACCCCUGUAGUCCCAUGAU